GAUGAACGCUGGCGGCGUGCCUAAUACAUGCAAGUCGAGCGAACGGACGAGAAGCUUUCUUCUCUGAUGUUAGCGGCGGACGGGUGAGUAACACGUGGAUAACCUACCUAUAAGACUGGGAUAACUUCGGGAAACCGUAGCUAAUACCGGAUAAUAUUUUGAACCGCAUGGUUCAAUAGUGAAAGACGGUCUUGCUGUCACUUAUAGAUGGAUCCGCGCUGCAUUAGCUAGUUGGUAAGGUAACGGCUUACCAAGGCAACGAUGCAUAGCCGACCUGAGAGGGUGAUCGGACACACUGGAACUGAGACACGGUCCAGACUCCUACGGGAGGCAGCAGUAGGGAAUCUUCCGCAAUGGGCGAAAGCCUGACGGAGCAACGCCGCGUGAGUGAUGAAGGUCUUCGGAUCGUAAAACUCUGUUAUUAGGGAAGAAAAUAUGUGUAAGUAACUGUGCACAUCUUGACGGUACCUAAUCAGAAAGCAACGGCUAACUACGUG
rnacentral:rRNA from 1 species